GAGGCUACCUAAUAUCCAUUUAGAUUAUCUUAAAUUUUUCUCAAUUAGUAAGUGCAAUUGAUUUCAUCUAUCUUAUAUUUGUUCCUAACUAAGAUAUUAAGAAGUAUGCAAAUUUUGAGUUAAUAUCAAUGAUUUGAUCAUUAGUUGUUGAAGUUCUAAUUUAUUGUAGGAUUUGAUUUAGGAUUUGGUUUAGGAUUUAUCUAUGGUUUGGUUAGGCCUUAGGAUUUGGUCUAGGAUUUGGUUAGAAUUAGGAUUUUUUUGGAAUUUGGUUUAAAACUUGAUUAAGAGUUGAUUAGGGUAUUUUUAGAAUUUAGGAUUUAUUUAAGAUUUUAUUAGGAUUUAAUAUAGAAUUUGAUUAAGAUUCAAUUAGGAUUUUAAUUAGGAUUUGACUUAAGAUUUAAUUAAAUUUUAAUUAUGAUUUUAAUUAGAAUUAUAUUAGAAUUUUUAUUUUUAGAAUUUAAAAGGAUUC
rnacentral:lncRNA from 1 species